rnacentral:rRNA from 1 species
UACAAUGGAGAGUUUGAUCCUGGCUCAGGAUGAACGCUAGCGGCAGGCUUAACACAUGCAAGUCGAGGGGCAGCAGGGUAGCAAUACCGCUGGCGACCGGCAAACGGGUGCGGAACACGUACAGAAUCUACCUUUAUCUGGGGCAUAGCCCGAAGAAAUUCGGAUUAACACCCCAUAAGAUAUUAGAGUGGCAUCACUCAGAUAUUAAAUCUCCGGAGGAUAGAGAUGACUGUGCGUCCCAUUAGCUAGUUGGUAGGGUAACGGCCUACCAAGGCGACGAUGGGUAGCUGGUGUGAGAGCACGACCAGUCACACGGGCACUGAGACACGGGCCCGACUCCUACGGGAGGCAGCAGUAAGGAAUAUUGGUCAAUGGACGCAAGUCUG